rnacentral:rRNA from 1 species
GUAGGUGGCAAGCGUUGUCCGGAAUUAUUGGGCGUAAAGCGCGCGCAGGUGGUUCUUUAAGUCUGAUGUGAAAGCCCCCGGCUCAACCGGGGAGGGUCAUUGGAAACUGGGGAACUUGAGUGCAGGAGAGGAAAGUGGAAUUCCACGUGUAGCGGUGAAAUGCGUAGAUAUGUGGAGGAACACCAGUGGCGAGGCGACUUUCUGGCCUGUAACUGACACUGAGGCGCGAAAGCGUGGGGAGCAAACAGGGAUUAGAUACCCUGGUAGUCCACGCCGUAAACGAUGAGUGCUAAGUGUUGGGGGGGUUUCCCGCCCCUCAGUGCUGCAGCUAACGCAUUAAGCACUCCGCCUGGGGAGUACGGUCGCAAGACUG